rnacentral:rRNA from 1 species
AUUGAACGCUGGCGGCAGGCUUAACACAUGCAAGUCGAACGCGAAAGGGGGCAACCCUGAGUAGAGUGGCGAACGGGUGAGUACUACAUCGGAACGUGCCCAGUAGUGGGGGACAACCUCGAGAAAUCGAGGCUAAUACCGCAUACGACCUACGGGUGAAAGCGGGGGACCGCAAGGCCUCGCGCUAUUGGAGCGGCCGAUGUCCGAUUAGCUAGUUGGUGGGGUAAAGGCCCACCAAGGCGACGAUCGGUAGCUGGUCUGAGAGGACGACCAGCCACACUGGGACUGAGACACGGCCCAGACUCCUACGGGGGGCAGCAGUGGGGAAUUUUUCGCAAUGGGGGAAACCCUGACGAAGCAACGCCGCGUGGAGGAUGAAGGCCGUCGGGUCGUAAACUCCUGUCGACCGGGACGAACGUAGCGAGGGCUAAUACCCUUUGCUAUCGACUGUACCGGUGGAGGAAGCCACGGCUAACUCUGUGCCAGCCGCCGCGGUAAGAC